GUAUUAAUUUAUUAGUACAAUUAGGAAUAGGAAACAAUACCAAACCUUAUUGAGUAACAAUUAGAGGGCAAGUCUGGUGCCAGCAGCCGCGGGUAAUUCCAGCUCUAAUAGCGUAUAUUAAUACUGUUGCAGUUAAAACGCUCGUAGUUGAACUUAGAAUUAUUACAAGUUAUUUUACUUGAUUGUAAAGUGCUUGCUUAAUUCUUAUCUACUAGAUACUCUAUUCUGUACUUAAUUGUAUGGAAUAUCACCUAGCCAGUGGAACUUUGGUGAAAUAAUGCCUUUUUUAAUACCAGAGUGUAAAAACUUGAAGUGUUAAUUUGGGAUCACAUUAUUUUAUUGAAGUGGGGUUCUAGUUAAUUUACUUUGAGUAAAUUAGAGUGUUCAAAGCAGCCUCUUGGGGCUUUGAAUAGAUUUAGCAUGGGAUAAUAGAAUAGGAUUUGAUAAUCUAUUUGUUGGUUUGAAUUAAUCAAAUAAUGAUUAAUAGGGACAGUUGGGGGC
rnacentral:rRNA from 1 species